rnacentral:lncRNA from 1 species
AAGCCAUAAGCCCAGGGGAGUCUCUCACACCCCAUUCUCCUAGGGCCCAUGUACCCCACGCCCACCUCCACCCCAGGAGCCGAAGGCCGGCAGGGAGCCUGGAGAGCCUCCUUGAUGGGAGAACUGCGGAGCUUGCCCCUCGGAAAAGUGCAUGGGGUGGAGAACAGGGAAGGAGAAAAAAACAACAACUGGGUACUCGCAGCCCCACCGCGGUGUCCGCUUCGCCGGUGGGAGAGGAUCCUCGCCGCCCUGAAUCCUUGAAAUCCUUGCCGAGCAUCUGCUCUGUACAGGCCGUGUACUAAGUGCUAGAGAGAUGGUGUGGGGUAGAUAAUGGCUUCCAGAGAUGUUCACGUCCUGAUCCACAGAUCCUAUAUGUGAGUGGAAAAAAGCCACAAAUUGAAAAUGUUUUUUAUCUGCUCUCACAUCACAACAAUCAACACAGAAGACUUCUGUGCCCACAUAUGUGAGGAUUUCUCUCACCAGCAAACAAGCAAUCAGUUCUGCAGUGGACACCAGCUGGGUGUCCUCCGAUUCAGUUCUGACACUCUCUACCUAAAGACCGCGUCCGAUCCCAGAGGUUGAGGGCUCUGGGUGUCCUCCGAUUCAGUUCUGACACUCUCUACCUAAAGACCGCGUCAGAUCCCAGAGGUUGAGGGCUCAGUCUCACAAGACUGCCCCCCGACUUCCGCCGCCAACCGCAAGCCCCUGGUUGUUUUACCUGUGCUUCUGACCAAGCAGGUAUAAAUCAGGGUCCCCACUACCCUCCCCCUGGGUUUGAUUAAUUUGCUGGAGCGGUUCUACAGAGCUCAGGGGAACACUGCUUAUGUUUACUGAUUUAUUAUAAGGAAUAUUAUAAAGGAUACCGAUGAGGCGACACAUAGGGUGAGAUAUGGGGAAGGGGGACAGAAUUUUCAUGUCCUCCUCAGAUGCAGCAUUCUCCGUAAACCCCACGUGUUCAGCUACCGAGAAGCUCC